rnacentral:rRNA from 1 species
UUAGCAUAUAAGUAAGCGGAGGACAAGAAACUAAACAGGAUUCCCUUAGUAAUGGCGAAUGAACAGGGAUGAGCUCAGCAUGGAAAUCGGGGUCUCCCGACCUUGAAUUGUAGUCUGUAGAUGUACUGCCAACGGAGGCGCAGAUGUAAGCCUCUUGGAAAAGAGCAUCAACGAGGGUGAGAGUCCCGUUUGUCAUCUGCAGUCCCCCGUGCACGGUGUGCCUUCUAAGAGUCACGUUCCUCGGGAUUGGAGCGCAAAGUGGGUGGUAAAUUUCAUCUAAAGCUAAAUAUUGGUUCGAGACCGAUAGCAAACAAGUACCAUGAGGGAAAGGUGAAAAGGACUUUGAAAAGAGAGUUAAAAGUGCCUGAAAUUGCUGAAAGGGAAGCGAAUGGAACCAGUGUUCUUGAUGAGAUUGUUGCGUACUCUGGUGAUUGCUGGGUGUUCCACCGCAAGGGGGGCAUCUAGUUUUGAGCUAGAUGUGCGUGGUGUUUCUUGUCUUGUGUGUCACCGUCGGUGCACGAGCGAGUAAACCUCCAGGGGGCUGGUAACUCGACCACGGUUGAGUGAAUACCUUUGGCAGUACUCAUUUGUGUAUCGAUCCCUGCGUGUCUGGUUGCAGUGUUUGGGUCGCCUGGAAACUCCUGAAGGGCUUGUCCUCGAAGGAGUCCUUUUGGGCGCCCUGAGCAUCUCCCUGACACAAAGACGAUGACUAAAUGGUUCUAUUCGACCCGUCUUG